GGGCGAGCAGGCUAAUUGUUAAGUUAGGUGUGAAAUUUCUCAGCUCAACUGAGAAACUGCGCCUAAAACUGGCAGUUUAGAGUUUUGGAGAGGAGAUCGGAAUUCCUGGUGUAGGGGUGAAAUCUAUAGAUAUCAGGAAGAACAUCGGUGGCGAAGGCGGAUCUCUGGCCAAAAACUGACGCUGAGUCGCGAAAGCUAGGGGAGCGAACGGGAUUAGAUACCCCGGUAGUCCUAGCCGUAAACGUUGUAUACUAGGUGUAUGUAGUAUCGAUCCUACAUGUGCCGGAGUUAACGCAUUAAGUAUACCGCCUGGGGAGUAUGCACGCAAGUGUGAAACUCAAAGGAAUUGACGGGGGCCCGCACAAGCGGUGGAGCAUGUGGUUUAAUUCGAUGAUACGCGAAAAACCUUACCAGGGUUUGACAUGUAGUA
rnacentral:rRNA from 1 species